UACGUAGGGGGCGAGCGUUGUCCGGAAUCAUUGGGCGUAAAGCGCGUGUAGGCGGCUCGAAAAGUCUGGUGUGAAAACUGGAGGCUCAACCUCCAGCUGUCACUGGAUACUGUCGGGCUUGAGUCCGGAAGAGGAGAGUGGAAUUCCUGGUGUAGCGGUGGUAAUGCGCAGAUAUCAGGAGGAAUACCGAUGGGCGAAGGCAGGUCUCUGGGCUGACACUGACGCUCAUGCACGAAAGCGUGGGGAGCAAACAGG
rnacentral:rRNA from 1 species